UUCAUUUCCAGCCCUGCAGAACCGUGCGCAGCAGAGCCUGUGAAGUGCUGUCCUCUCGCCUCCUUCCACGUGGAGAGCUUUCUUAAUGAAGAGUUAAGAGACCUCAGGGACCAGAUGCAACUCGGUGAUGGAAACAGUUGCACAAUAGAGUGCUUGAUUAAUGCCUUCUGACUUUUCCAGGAGUUGAAGUCCUCCAGACAAAGCAAGCUUGGCUUGACUGCAGGGGGAAGGGAAGGCAAGAGGAGAGGAAUCUUCACUGGUUUGUCCUGCCAUGGAAAACCAAGCUCUGUCAGAAUUUGUGAAACACUUGUCUUCCUGGAAAGAAAAAGAAGUUGUUAAAGUCUAACUGUGGUUGUUUUUUACAUAAACCAUCCCUGGCACCUUCAAAAAUA